GGAAGGAUCAUUCAUUUUUAUGCAAAACAAUUUGUCUAAUCCAUUUUGGAGCUAUAUUAGUGUAUACUGUGACAUUUCUUGUUAAAAGAAAAUUUUGACGGUGGAUGCAUAGACUUCCAGAACGAUGAAGAACGUAGCGAAGUGCGACAUGUAGUGCGAAUUGCAGAAUUCAGUGAAUCAUCAAUUUUUCGAACGCAGUUUGUAGCCAUUGGUUAUUCCUUUGGCUGUGCUUCUUUGACAUUGCUAACACUUUACAGUCUUUCAGAUUGUUUUCAGUAUCUUGCUACAGCAGGCAUAAAGUAUGUAGGCGGUCUAGGCGAGUCAAUGUUUUGAGUGAAAACUUGAAAACAACGAAUUGCUGAGAAUGCUGAGUACAUCCAACUUGAAAUACAAGUGUCAAAUGAAGCACGGAAACCCCCUGGAUUUAAGCAUAUAACUAAGGGGAGGAAAAGAAACCAAAACGGAUUUCCUGAGUAACGGCGAGUGAAUCGGGAAAAGCUCAAGCUGGUAAUCUCUUUGCUUUGCAAAGCGAAAUGUAGCUUGUGGGAACAUGUCCAGAGUGUGGCACUGGUCUAAGUUCACUGAAAAGUGACGCAGUGUAAGGUGAUAGCCCUAUUCAAGGCUUGAAGUUCGCCUCGUACGGACUGUUUUCUGAGAGUCGGAUUGCUUGGGAGUGCAGUCUUAAUGGGAGCUAAAGUCCUUCCAAAGCUAAACAUAUCUGGAAGAUCGAUAGCACACAAGUACCGCGAGGGAAAUGUGAAAAGAACUUUGAAAAGAGAGUUAAAAGUAUCUGAAACCGUCAGCGAUCAA
rnacentral:misc_RNA from 1 species